CGGCGUUUGAUUGGUGCUCUGGAAUUCGAAUUUCGACGGCCGAGUUCAAUGUCUGGUUUCGUCUCCUUCAGUGCAAUGCAGGUUGAAUCCUAGGGCUUUCUCCCGAUCAAGUUUGUCAAUUGGAAAAAAACUGACAAUGGUGAGUGAUUAUGGCUUUAAAAGAAGAAUCACAGCUGAAAUUCCUGACAUAUGCAGUUGAGAAAGCUGUAAUCACAGAUCAUCUAGUUGACAACAUUGCGGCCCCCAUUCACAAGCCAAAUGAGACUCCCAUUGUCGCCAGGUUGAAUCUUGUUCAUAAACACAAUUAUUUUCACUUUGCUUUUCAAUAUGCCACUGAUCAAUAGCUUGCAAUUAUAUAUCCAUGGCAAAUCAUUGAUAUCCUCCUUGCCACUUUUUUAUGCCUCCUAAAAUAUAAGCAAUAUCAUAUUGGAUUCAU